rnacentral:rRNA from 1 species
AUUACUGACACUCAGUGUGGGAAAGCUAGGGGAGCAAACGGGAUUAGAUACCCCGGUAGUCCUAGCCGUAAACGAUGGGCACUAAGUAGAGGGAAUUACCGAUGUUCUCUCUGCCGUAGCUAACGCAUUAAGUGCCCCGCCUGGGGAGUACGGCCGCAAGGCUAAAACUCAAAAGAAUUGACGGGGGCUCGCACAAGCGGUGGAGCAUGUGGCUUAAUUCGAUGCAACGCGAAAAACCUUACCGGGGCUUGACAUGGUAGAAGUAGGAACCCGAAAGGGUAACGAACGGUAUCCAGUCCGUAACUAUUACAGGUGUUGCAUGGCUGUCGUCAGCUCGUGUCGUGAGACGUUGGGUUAAGUCCCCUAACGAGCGAAACCCUUAUUUUUAGUUACCAGCGGGUUGUGCCGGGUACUCUAGAAAGACUGCCGUCGUCAAGACGGAGGAAGGUGGGGAUGACGUCAAGUCAUCAUGGCCCUUAUGCCCCGGGCUGCACACGUGCUACAAUGGUCGGUACAAACGGAUGCGAAGCCGAGAGGUGCAGCGAAUCCAAGC